ensembl:snRNA U2 U2 spliceosomal RNA
AUAACUUCACGGCCUUUUGACUGAGAUCAAGAGGAGUUACUGUUUUUGUCAGUUUAAUAUCAGAUGCACCCUUGAUCUAAGAAUGUAUCAUAAGUGUAUUUUUUAUUUUUU